rnacentral:rRNA from 1 species
CUACGGGGUGCUCCAGUGGGGAAUAUUGCACAAUGGAGGAAACUCUGAUGCAGCAACGCCGCGUGGAGGAUGACACUUUUCGGGGCGUAAACUCCUUUUAUAUAGGAAGAAGAUGACGGUACUAUAUGAAUAAGCGCCGGCUAACUCCGUGCCAGCAGCCGCGGUAAUACGGAGGGCGCAAGCGUUACUCGGAAUCACUGGGCGUAAAGAGCGUGUAGGCGGAUUAAAAAGUCAGAAGUGAAAUCCUAUAGCGUAACUAUAGAACUGCUUCUGAAACUCUUAAUCUAGAAUAUGGGAGAGGUAGAUGGAAUUUCUGGUGUAGGGGUAAAAUCCGUAGAGAUCAGAAGGAAUACCGAUUGCGAAGGCGAUCUACUAGAACAUUAUUGACGCUGCGACGCGAAAGCGUGGGGAGCAAACAGGAUUAGAUACCCUCGUAGUC